rnacentral:rRNA from 1 species
GAUGAACGCUGGCGGCGUGCUUAACACAUGCAAGUCGAACGAGGUCCAACCUUCGGGUGAAGACCGAGUGGCGAACGGGUGAGUAACACGUGGGCAACCUGCCCCUCACACUGGGAUAACUAAGGGAAACUUUAGCUAAUACCGGAUACUCCGAUCGGAUCGCAUGGUCUGAUCGGGAAAGCUCCGGCGGUGAGGGAUGGGCCCGCGGUCCAUUAGCUUGUUGGUGAGUUAACGGCUCACCAAGGCUGCGAUGGAUAGCCGGGCUGAGAGGCCGAUCGGCCACACUGGGACUGAGACACGGCCCAGACUCCUACGGGAGGCUG